rnacentral:rRNA from 1 species
UACGAAGGGGGCUAGCGUUGCUCGGAAUCACUGGGCGUAAAGGGUGCGUAGGCGGGUCUUUUAAGUCAGGGGUGAAAUCCUGGAGCUCAACUCCAGAACUGCCUUUGAUACUGGAGAGCUUGAGUCCGGGAGAGGUGAGUGGAACUCCGGGUGUAGAGGUGAAAUUCGUAGAUAUUCGGAAGAACACCAGUGGCGAAGGCGGCUCACUGGCCCGGUACUGACGCUGAUGCGCGAAAGCGUGGGGAGCAAACGGG